rnacentral:misc_RNA from 1 species
GUAGUAGAUGCUCUUGUUCUUUAGAAUCAAGUCAUCUCUUAGCCAUAGGUUCUUGGAUUUUGGGUUGAGAAGGCCCCAAUCCUCGACAAAAUCCCAGUACAACUGAUAAACUGUAGCAACAGAAGAAGUGACCAACACUAUACCAAACCAUAGGUGAUUCUUCUGCCUAGCAUAAGUUAGCCUGGCACCAGCUGCCACCAUGGCAGAAACAUACUUCCCCAUGUUU